CAGAGUCCAAUUUUGCGACACAAAUGAGACCCUGAAUUCCAAACCUUGGGGAAAAACAGGGAAUUCCGGUGCCAGGAGGAAAAGCUCCCUCCAGGCUCUCGCUCUGCCUGGGCCACCAAGCGCCAAAAUUCCCUUUUUUCCCCAAAUUCCCUGGGAUUUGCCGUGCCAGGAGCGGGCAAUGCCCUCCCUGCAGCUCCUGGAGAUCCCAGCGCUGUUCCGUUCCAGCUGGAGAGAGCAGCAGAGUCCCGGAGGUUGCGCCCGGAGCAGCAUUCCCGGGAUAUUCCCGGGAUAUUCCCGGGAUAUUCCCCAUUCCCAGGGAACCUGGGGGAGCUCUGCCUUCCCAGGGCAUCCCAAAAGAAGCGCUGGAUCUCUCCCUGCACACAAAAACUCCCGCUGGGAAUUUCCCUUCCCUGUUUUCCACAGCUGCACCCCCUCGGCCGCGCAGACAGAUCGGAUUCCCCGAGAAAAUUCCAGAGGCGCUUCCAGGCAAAACAUUCCCGAAGGGCAAACCGGGAAAAACUUGGAAG
rnacentral:lncRNA from 1 species